UCCCUCUUUCCUUUUUUCUUCUUCUUUUCUUUUGGUAUUUUCUUAUGUGGCACCAUAGCCCUCUUGGGCUGACUCCACCAGACCAAUAAGGACUUGGUGCACCACCCUAGGGCCUUGGUCUCACUCCCGGGUGGGUGGGCCCUUUCCGGUAAACACCCGGAACCCAUUCGUCACUCUCGGUACAUUACAGGAAUUGCCCAAUACUUUCCGGUGACCAAAUGAAACCAUCCUAUAUAUGAAUCUUCGUUUACGGGCCAUUCCGGUAACUCUCGUGACGUCCGUGAUCUCAUUCGGGACUCCUAACAACAUUCGGUAACCACACAUAUAACUCAACUAUACUAAAACAUCACCGAACCUUAAGUGUGCACACCCUGCGGGUUCGAGAACUAUGUAGACAUGACCCGAGGCACUCCUCGGUCAAUAUCCAAUAGAGGGACUUGGAUGCCCAUAUUGGAUCCUACAUAUUCUCCGAAGAUCUUAUCGGUUGAACCUCAGUGUCAAGGAUUCAUAUAAUCCUGUAUGUCAUUCCCUUUGUCCUUCGGUAUGUUACUUGCCCGAGAUUUGAUCGUCGGUAUCCGCAUACCUAUUUCAAUCUCGUUACCGGCAAGUCUAUUUACUCAUUCCGUAAUACAAGAUCCCGUGACUUACACUUAGUCACAUUGCUUGCAAGGCUUGUGUGUGAUGUUAUAUUACCGAGUGGGCCCCGAGAUACCUCUCCGUCACACGGAGUGACAAAUCCCAGUCUUGAUCCAUACUAACUCAAUGGACACCUUCGGAGAUACCUGUAGAGCACCUUUAUAGUCACCCAGUUACGUUGCGACGUUUGAUGCACACAAGGUAUUCCUUCGAUGCCAGUGAGUUAUAUAAUCUCAUGUUCAUAGGAAUAAAUACUUGACACGUAGAAAACAAUAGCAAUAAAAUGACACGAUCAAUAUGCUAUGUUGAUAGUUUGGGUCUAGUCCAUCACAUGAUUCUCCUGAUGAUGUGAUCCAGUUAUCAAGCAACAACACUUGCACAUAGUCAGAAAACCUUGACUAUCCUUGAUCAACUGGCUAGCUAACUAGAGGCUUGCUAGGGACAUCGUUUUGUCUAUGUACCCACACAUGUAUCUAUGAUUUCAUUCAAUACAAUUAUAGCAUGGAUAAUAAACGAUUAUCUUUGUAAUAGGAAAUAUAAUAAUAACUAUUUAUCAUUGCCUCUACGGCAUAUUUCCAACAGCGGCAACUUUGGCUGCGGGAGGAACCGGGGCGGUGGAGUGUUCGCGGGUGGCGGCGCUGUUGGCCGACAGCGGGCGCGCAACGGGGUGACCGGAGGGCGUAGUGCGGGGCGCCGGCGGGUCUCGGCCGGAGGGCGGCAACGCGACGCAGGUUUGACCAGAGCGGGGCUGGCGAAGGGGCUCUGGAUCGGGGCUCCUCCUCGAUGUGGAGCUCAGGCCCGAGGGGCGCGGAUGCGGCGGCGGCUUCGGGCCCGGGCGGGCUAGAGCGGUCCUGCGGCGCUGGUGGGAGGAGGAGAGGCUGCGCUAGGGUUUGAGGGGGCGCACGGAUCUUGAGGCAGGCCUGGGGCUGCCCGAUGUGGACGUGGGAAUGCCCAUUUAUAGAAGUUUUGUCUAGGGUUUGGGGUUUUCAUGGCCGAUUUUGACCGCGCGAUCGUGAUCAGACGUCCCCCGCCGCAGGGUGGGCUGGUUGGGCCGUGUAGAGUGGGUGUUGGGCUAAGACGAGAGGGAAAUGGUGCGACCCGGCGAUAGUGAUUUAAAACACCGAAAACGUCCGACGAUAACCCGCCGACGGUGCCGCUAUGGUCUACCGUUCGGCUAUCAAAGGGACUCCUAUUGCGGCGAAAAUUGGCACGCGACCUACCUACAUAAAAAUAAGACCGCACACCAAGUUUCAACCCAAUCCAAGAAUAUUUUAUACACACUUUUAAAAACAAAUAUUAGCGAUGCCGCGGGCGCAUGCGUGUGUGGUUGGUCUCAAAAUGGGCAACGACGAACACGGAGAGAACCGACAACUAAUAAUGGAUGCAGGUUUUGAAAACUGGCGGCAAUGGAGUGCCGAUGCAAUGCAGAUGAUGCGCAUGAUGCGAUGAUGAAUGCGACAGACAAACGAACCACACGACGGGAACGAAAUAAAAGGGGAACUUCUGGAGCGUCGGUCUCGGGAUGUCACACAUAUCACCGCAUGAAAUAUCCUCAAUUAUUUUAACAUAACAAUAACGUUUCCUUCAUCACAACAAACCAUACACAAAGGUAAUAUUCCAUGUUCAGAAUGCUUGCCUUGUUUGUGUAGAAAGGUAGGGUGCACUUCAAAACUUUUGAAAGUUUUCAAUCUUCCUCUUCAAAUUCCUAUUUUGAAAAUACUCAAAUCAACAUACCAUUCAAACAAAAGUAAAAAGUUAUUCGGAAAUUUUUCAAUUAAAUACUAAAAUAAACUAGAGAAAAAUUGAAAGAGGUGAGUAAAAGAAUCAACUCAUUUGGAGUUUUAUUUUAAAAGAUAUGACCAGUAAAAGAUUGGUCAAACUUCUGUUUUUAAAAUAAAUCAGAAAAGAAAGCGAUUCGGCUCACAUUAUGCUUUUACAGAAGGGAAUACAUACUUUGCACAAAUACACCUUCACUUAACGUGGCUCAAGCUCGGCUCUGUCGCUGACGAGUGGGGCCCUUCAUACAGGUUUGACUUUGGUCAAACCGGUCAUCUACCUCCUCCAAACAAGGGGAGGAGAGGCCUCCGGUGGCUCUUGACGGUGAUUGGGGGCACUACACCAAAAUCCGAGAGUAUCAACAUGCUCGGGGUCCCAAGGCAAUCCCAAAGGUGCGGGAUUUGGUCGGCGGAGAGCCUGGGAGCUCCAGCGGCUUCGAGGCGUGCGGACGGCGGCGCGGGUCCGCAAGGGAACUUUGCCCACGGCUCAUCUUGAGUGAAAUCGAGAGGGGGGAUGGGCUCGCGGUGCCAGUGUUAUUCCACCAAGGGGGAGAGCGAUGCAGGAUAAACUUCAUUGGCCUCGAAUUUAACUACAGGGGCGGCGGCCGAACCUCGGCCGGAGGUGAGGAAGACGACCUCCCCCGGUCGAUUGGUUGCAAUGGGAGCUUGAGAGGGGCCGGAGAGGUUCCUCUGAGGGUCUGGGAAAACCCGGGGGUCCCUUAUAUACGCAAUCA
rnacentral:lncRNA from 1 species